UGUGGCUGUGGACCUCAUUGUGUCAAUCGAACGUCCCAAAGAGGACUGAAGUAUCGUUUUGAGGUUUUUCGGACCCCAAAAAAAGGUUGGGCUGUUAGAUCAUGGGAUUUCAUACCUUCUGGAGCACCAAUCUGUGAGUAUGUGGGAGUACUAAUGAGAACAGAAGACUUGGAUAGUAUCUCUGACAAUAACUAUAUUUUUGAAAUCGACUGUUUGCAGACAAUGAGGGGGAUUGGUGGAAGAGAGAGGCGACUUGGAAAUGUAUCAGUGCCAACAAUUAACAACACAGAUGGACCUGAUGAUCAAAAGUUGGAAAGUGUGCCAGAAUUCUGCAUUGAUGCAGGUUCCACAGGAAAUAUUGCCAGGUUCAUUAAUCAUAGUUGUGAGCCUAAUCUGUUUGUUCAGUGUGUUUCAAGCUCACACCAUGACCUCAAGCUUGCUCGGGUAAUGCUAUUUGCAGCGGA
rnacentral:misc_RNA from 1 species